rnacentral:rRNA from 1 species
CCUACGGGUGGCAGCAGUGGGGAAUAUUGCACAAUGGGGGAAACCCUGAUGCAGCGACGCCGCGUGAGUGAAGAAGUAAUUCGUUAUGUAAAGCUCUAUUAGCAGGGAAGAAAAUGACGGUACCUGAGUAAGAAGCCCCGUCUAACUACGUGCCAGCAGCCGCGGUAAUACGUAGGGGGCAAGCGUUAUCCGGAUUUACUGGGUGUAAAGGGAGCGUAGACGGCAGUGCAAGUCUGGAGUGAAAGGCGGGGGCUCAACCCCCGGACUGCUCUGGAAACUGUACGGCUGGAGUGCAGGAGAGGUAAGUGGAAUUCCUGGUGUAGCGGUGAAAUGCGUAGAUAUUAGGAGGAACACCGAUGGCGAAGGCAGCCUGCUGGACUGUGACUGACGUUAAGGCCCGAAGGCGUGGGGAGCAAACAGGAUUAGAUACCCCGGUAGUC